rnacentral:lncRNA from 1 species
GUCUUUUGUUUAUUUCUUUGAUUUUCAUUUCUUCUUUGAGAAAGAAUAUUUCUGUAAUUCUAUUGGGCAUUCUAAAUUAUUGUGUAAGGAAUGUAAACUCUAAACUCUAUUAUUUCGCUUCUGCAUUUAAUUUAUGAUUUUAUUUCUAUUUAAGUUCCGGGCAUUUACAGUUGGUAUCAGAGUUGCAUUUCUCGGAACUAUUUCUUACACAAAGAUCUAAGGCAACACCAAGAAAAUGAAUUAUCAGUCAACUAUUUCUUAUGAAUACAGUUACAGAUAGAUGAGGAGAGGAAGACCCCCACUAAACCGAGUAGCCUAGGAGGGUUUACU